rnacentral:rRNA from 1 species
AUGCCUCGGAGCGGUUCCAUCAAGAAGCAGGCGAUGGCCGGCGAUGCCAACGAUGCCCUCCCGCGAGACGUCCUGGCCAGCGUCCUGCUCCGCUUCCCGGCGAGCGACCUCCGGCGCUUCCGCCUCGUCUGCAAGGAGUGGUGCGAGGUCAUCUCCGACCCUACCUUCAUCGAUGCGCACAUGGUCCACGGACCACGGGCCCUGACCCACACCAUUGUUUUUUUUCGUGGACGUCGGGGAGGCGGAGCUGACGGGGCCAUAGAGCCGCGAAGCAGCGACGGCUACCUCUUCGACGAGCAGUGGCGACUGGUGGCCAGGUUCACGGCCGGCGAGUCAGAAGACAUGGUGGGCACGUGCAACGGCCUGCUCUGCUUCCUCGACCUCCGCCAGGGGGGCAUCAGGGUGGUAGAGCCCUUCACCGGCGAAUCGCUUGUCCUGCCGUCGCCGCAGAGGCGGUUGUGGCACGCUCGUGGCGCCUACAGCUUUGGCUUCGACCCCAGCUCGAGGAGAUACAAGAUUUUGCACCACGAGAAAGAUGCUUACAUGUACACGAUCGGAGGAGGCGAGAAGUGGAGGAGAGCGCAUGGGGCCACCGUGUCUUACGGCUGCGUAUUCGCUGACGGAGCAGUGUGGUCCGUUGCUACGAAUCGGCGUCGGCUCAGAAAGGUCGUGCGCUUCGAUCUGGCGACGGAGAAGAUCACGUCGGAGCCCAUGGAAUCGGCUGGCUGGGGUACAGCUCUGUCAACGGUGUCGGACGCGCGGGUGUUCUUGAUGGGCUUAGGGGUGGCCGGGGAGUUGGAGGUGUUCUCCAUGGGAGACGGCGGCCGGUGGAUGCGAUAUAGCAUCGCCGUGAGGGCGCCUCACAUGCGGUUUCCCGCGGUGCCGCAUCCCCUGCAACGGGGGCACGUGCUGAUGCGGGACCGUAACAGGGAUUCGCGCGGUGGCGUGUACGCCCAUCCGAUUGCGCCGGCGAGCAAUGAUCUGGGCUCGGGGAAGCUGCUGCUUCAGAUGCCAAAGGACUGGCCGGGAGCUGACGGGACACCUAGAUGCGAUAAUAAGACGCGAUGGCUGUUUGUACCGGUCCCGCGUGAGGAGGAGACGGCGGCCAGAGUAAGACGAGUCCCACAAGAACUGCACCCUCCAAGGGUGUUCUCCUAUGCCCCACCAGUGUCUAUUUUCAAGAAAGCAAAAAAUGCCCCACCGGUGUCUCCUCCUCCCUUGGCACGCUACUUUGGAGGCCUGCGCGAAUUAUAA